rnacentral:misc_RNA from 1 species
UGUUAUUCAAAUUUAAAAGUUCUCAAAUCCUAUGACUCUUUAAGAGUGAUAGGUACCAACACACAUUCAAGUGUUCUUGGGUUUUCAUGCGAAUGAAAACAUAUUUGAGUCCGGCAAAAUCGAACGUCUCUCACUCAUAAAAUAGAGAGACAACCUUGGUUGUUUGCCAUACAUAAGACCUCUACGGGGUUGUAU